rnacentral:rRNA from 1 species
GCAAGUCGAACGGCAGCACAGGCAGAGCUUGCUCUGUGGGUGGCGAGUGGCGGACGGGUGAGGAAUACAUGGGAAUCUGCCCAGUCGUGGGGGAUAACGUAGGGAAACUUACGCUAAUACCGCAUGCGCCCUUCGGGGGAAAGCCGGGGACCUUCGGGCCUGGCGCGAUUGGAUGAGCCCAUGUCGGAUUAGCUAGUUGGCGGGGUAAUGGCCCACCAAGGCGACGAUCCGUAGCUGGUCUGAGAGGAUGAUCAGCCACACUGGAACUGAGACACGGUCCAGACUCCUACGGGAGGCAGCAGUAGGGAAUAUUGGACAAUGGGCGCAAGCCUGAUCCAGCCAUGCCGCGUGAGUGAAGAAGGCCCUCGGGUUGUAAAGCUCUUUUGUCCGGAAAGAAAAGCGCCGGGUUAAUACCCUGGUGUCCUGACGGUACCGGAAGAAUAAGCACCGGCUAACUUCGUGCCAGCAGCCGCGGUAAUACGAAGGGUGCAAGCGUUACUCGGAAUUACUGGGCGUAAAGCGUGCGUAGGUGGUUUGUUAAGUCUGAUGUGAAAGCCCUGGGCUCAACCUGGGAAUUGCAUUGGAUACUGGCAGGCUAGAGUGCGGUAGAGGGUAGUGGAAUUCCCGGUGUAGCAGUGAAAUGCGUAGAGAUCGGGAGGAACAUCUGUGGCGAAGGCGACUACCUGGACCAGCACUGACACUGAGGCACGAAAGCGUGGG